GCCUAGUUAGCUUUGAGGUUAGAACGUCUGCCUUCCAAGUGCUGGUUCGCGGGUUCGAUUCCCGCUCGGGGCG
rnacentral:tRNA from 1 species